CCAACAUCCCCUCAAAUACAUACCUACAUUUCGCUAAUUAAAAACUUUAAUAUCUCUCUCUCUUCCAUAUAUACAUAUAUGCUUUGUGCAAGUGCAACCCUAGUUAAUUUGCUGGCCACUACAUGCCAAUAUGUCCAACAUUUUACCAUGCUAAAACAAGUCAACCUCUGUUUGUUUUAAUUGCUGUAAUCUAUGUUGUUGUAAGAAAUGACAAAAAUGU
rnacentral:lncRNA from 1 species